AGAGUUUGAUCCUGGCUCAGAUUGAACGCUGGCGGCAUGCUUUACACAUGCAAGUCGAACGGCAGCACGGGGGCGAACCCUACGGUGGCGAGUGGCGAACGGGUGNGUAAUGCAUCGGAACGUAUCCUUCGAGUGGGGGAGUAACGCAGCGAAAGUUAGUGCUAAUACCGCAUAAGCUCUGAGGAGGAAAGACGGGGGACCGGAAAGGACCUCGCGCUGAAGGAGCGGCCGAUGUCCGAUUAGCUAGUUGGUUAGG
rnacentral:rRNA from 1 species